GCCGCUGGGAAGCUCUGGGGGUGUGUAAGCUGCUGCGGUUUCCUGGGCUGAGGACUGGAAAGCGAGGGCCGAAAAAGCCUGUUUUUCAGGCAGUCCCUGACCUCUACAUCUGAAACCUCAGCAUAAAGGACAACAAAGAAUGUCAGGAAAUGGCAAAUGACAAGACCUGCCAGCUACCAGCUUGAGAGAAGUCAGCGACCUGCAGGAUGUCAUUCCAGGCAUGCUGGUGAGGGAAAAAAAAAAGCUUUGCCGAAUCCCAAAGGAGAUGUACUUUACAAGUCACAGCUUACCAAUGAAGUAACUGAGACUCAAAAACCUCAAGCACAGAAGUUCAUCUAAAAACUCUUUGAUCUAUAACCCAGGGACCAAAUUGAAGACUAUCUGCAUUUUUUGCAAGACUCUGUAUCUGUGCCAAGUUCCGGUGCCCUGCCGUGCUUUUAUGUCUGCUCUGACAGCCUCCUGGCUGUCCUCUGAGCAGGCUUGUCUCAUCUCCAGUGUCCCCUGACACUCCAGUUUCUUCAUGCUCCUCGUCCUUCCUUGGGCUUUUAUUCAACAGUUUGAAACUCUCUAAAAACAAAACCCUUCUAUUUAAUAUUGAAAGCAUCUCAGAUUUCAAUUUUGUUGUUGUUAUUGUUGUUUUGUUUUGUGGAUUAAUAGAACCACAUUCCCCAAGGUCAGCUCUGGUGAGCCAGGCUGAUAUCUGAAGGUUACAGUUCCCUUCCUCUGGCUAGGUCCAAGAAAUCCUUUCUGGUCAUUAGGUUGAUUCACUACCUGAUCAUUCUCUGGCCCAGAAUCCCCCAAGGCCUUGUAAAAACAUAGUCUGUGGUUCCCACUCCUGGAGUUUUGAUUCAUUAGGUCUGGGGUGGGGCCUGGGAAUUUGAAUUCCUAACAGGUCCUCAGGGGAGGCUGAGGCUGUGGAAUCUGGACCCACACUUUGAGAACCACUGCUCUAGCUCAGUGGUUCCUUAAUUCUGCCUCCUAUGCCUGUUGAUUCCCUUUAGUUCCUAAAUCUUUUAUAAAUAUUAUCUCUGCUGGUCUAAGGUAAAACUCAGAGUGGGGAAGGGGAAUGGGAACUCUAUAACCUUCCUCUAUAGGGACAGGCCAAGAAUCGAGGGAAUUCAAUUCCAACAUCACAACCUUUUUUUUUUUUUUUUCUUUUUUGGAGGACUGAUAACGUUCUAAAGCAGUGGUAAGGGGUUAGAAAGAUCAGUUUCUGUUCUCAAGAAACUGAACAUCUAAAAAGGGGAAAGCCUAGAACAUUGCCAGUACCCCAGGAAUAUUCCCCAGGCUCACCCUAGAGGUCAAGGUCAAGACUCACCCUCAGGGUCAUACAAGGGCAGGGUCAGCAAGUUCACAAUCCUGAGUGAGUGCCUCCUCAAAUUUUGUCCUCUGGGGACUUCACUCGCCUCCCCUGUUCUCAGCCCUGCCAAAGGUCACAACAGAGACUUCCAGUAGCCCUGAUGGAUUCCAGCCUUUUCCUGCCCAAGUAUAUUCUCCACCAGAGAAGUCCACUUGGCCUGCAAGCUUGGUGGACCAGAACUGCACAUGCAAUGCUCAACCACACAUAAAGCUGGAAAAGGAGCCAAAAGCUCACGAAAUCACCAUGCAAAAUUUAUAGAGUAGGAAGAACAGAAGGACUAAGGCUGAUAUUGGAGGCAUGCAAGCAUUUAAGAGAUGGGAUUUGGAAAGAGAGACUUGCAAGUUGUUGAGAAAUGGGUAAGUGGAAAGAACCAAUAUAGUCUGAGAUCUGCUUUGAUGUCUGAAUGAAGUGUGCAAGACACGGGACUUGCCUUCAAGAAGCUUCCAGGUUAACAGGGGAAAUAAGAUCCUCACUUGAAAAAAUAAAUAUUCUGGCUCGAAGCACCCAAUUAGUGUUGAGGAUAGAAUGUAAGAGAGAGGAAUAAGCUAAAACUUGCCCUAACUUGAGCAAUACAAUCCUUAGUCUUUCCAUGUAGAAAAUGGUGAGAAUGAUAUUGAUCGCAUAGGGUUUUUAUGAAAUUCUAGUAAGAUAAUUAAAGUCCUAAGGAAAGGUGCAGACCUAUAGUAACCACUAAGUACCUUAGUAUUUUUUAUUGUAAUUUCUGUGAUGAUGCUGUUAUAUGCUGGUUAUGGACAAAGUUUAGGAGGCAGGAAGGAGAUGUGAGGCGUCCUCAUUGACAGACAAUGAGGAGCUGGGAUGGUCAGGAUUUAGAGUUAAAUUCCCCUACAUCUUGAGGCAAGAUGCCUGAGCAAGGAGGAAGUCAGUAGUUGCCAAAAUUUGGGGGCAAGUCAACAGAUUGGUUUCUGUAGAGUAUGUGCGGCUCGAGGAGAGAGACAUGAUUGUGGCCAAACUGAAAUCUUGGAACAAGAAACUUGGGCUCUUCCCUAGAGUUCAUCCAGAACUUCUGAGGAUUUAUAACCCAAAAAUGACGUAAAUAAAAUGGUCUUUUGGUGAGAUUUAUUUAUAAAUCUAAAAUGGUAAUAGGAAAAAUGAUGUCAGGUUGUUUGGUAACUUUUUUAAAAAAAGAUUUAUUUAUUUUAGAAAGAGAGAGAGCAGAGGGAGAAGGACAGAGCUAAAUAUGAGUCAAUAUGUUUUUUAAAAUUCAAAUAAAUAAUUGUCUCAUGACCAUGUGUAGCCCUAGGAGGAAGAAGCAGCAUUUUGUUUUGUUUUGUCUUGUUUUGUUUCUUUUCAUUUGACUCCUCAAGGGAAGCAGGGGGAGGAGGAAUGCAAAAUCCCUUAUUAAACCUCACAGGGCGAUUCCUCCCCAGUACCUCCUGAAGCUUGUCAUUUGCCAAGACAAUCCUUGUUUAUAGCUGUUGAUCUUACAUAAUUUUUAAAAAUUCCUCCAUUUCAUUCUCAAAAGUGCCCAUGUUAGGGCAAUAAACUAUGUGAUCACCUCGAACUCACCUUGCCAAAAUGAGUCAGUCUGAAGAGAAGAAGGGUAGGAACAGAAUGACCCACCCCCAUUCUUGCAGCCUAUCCUAUUGGGUGGCUGGCUUUGUAGUCACUGUUCCCUUCUGUCAGCAUCUCCUACUUCCUUUUAGAACCCCCUUCAGGGCUGCGUAGUUUUUGUGGAAGCACCAUUUCCAAGGCAUUGCUUCAGACUUCCUCAAACGCUUUAUUAAAAAUCACCUCAUGGUCCUGUUCUCCGAAC
rnacentral:lncRNA from 1 species